rnacentral:hammerhead_ribozyme from 1 species
GUACUUCUGAGGAGUCCCACAAUAGAACGAGACGGCCGUCCAGUGC